rnacentral:rRNA from 1 species
CAGCAGCCGCGGUAAUACGAAGGCCCCGAGUGUUAUCCGGAUUUAUUGGGCGUAAAGCGUACGUAGGGGGCUUGGUGCGUCUCUUGUUAAAUCUCACUGCCUAACGGUGAGGCUGCAAGGGAUACGGCCAGGCUAGAGGAUGCGGGAGGUCUGUGGAACGCACGGUGUAGGGGUGAUAUCCGGUUGAUAUCGGCGGAACACCAAAGGCGAAGGCAGCAGACUGGCGUAUUCCUGACCCUGAGGUACGAAAGCGUGGGUAGCGAACGGGAUUAGAUACCCCGGUAGUCCACGCCGUAAACUCUGCUGGCUAGCUGUUUCGAGUAUCGACCCUCGGAGUGGCGCAGCUAACGCGUUAAGCCAGCCGCCUGGGAAGUACGGCCGCAAGGCUGAAACUCAAAGGAAUAGACGGGGACUCGCACAAGUGGAGGAGCAUGAGGUUUAAUUCGACAGUGCGCGAGAAACCUUACCAGGGCUUGACACCUAGACGACCGCUUUGGGAAACCAGAGCUUUUCUUCGGAACGGUUAGGCAGGUGCUGCAUGGUUGUCGUCAGCUCGUGUCUUGAGAUGUUCCAUUAAGUUGGGAAACGAGCGCAACCCUUGUCCUAUGUUACAAGUGUCAUAGGAUACUGCCCCGAUUCACGGGGAGGAAGGAGGGGAUGACGCCAAAUCCGCAUGGCCCUUUGAUGCCCUGGGCUACACUCAUGCUACAAUGGCCGAUACAACGAGUCGCGACGCCGCAAGGUGUAGCUAAUCUCUUAAAGUCGGUCUCAGUUCGGAUUGAGGGCUGCAAUUCGCCCUCAUGAAGUUGGAUUCACUAGUAAUCGCGGAUCAGCAUGCCGCGGUGAAUACGUUAUCGAGUCUUGUACUCACCGCCCGUCAAGUCAGGGGAGCCGGGAGUACCUGAAGCUUUAGCUAGUCUGAAGUUAGGGUAAGUUUGGUGACACGGACUAAGUCGUAACAAGGUAGCCGUA